CUCUGCUCAGGACGAACGCUGGCGGCGUGCCUAAUACAUGCAAGUCGAGCGGACAGAUGGGAGCUUGCUCCCUGAUGUUAGCGGCGGACGGGUGAGUAACACGUGGGUAACCUGCCUGUAAGACUGGGAUAACUCCGGGAAACCGGGGCUAAUACCGGAUGGUUGUUUGAACCGCAUGGUUCAAACAUAAAAGGUGGCUUCGGCUACCACUUACAGAUGGACCCGCGGCGCAUUAGCUAGUUGGUGAGGUAACGGCUCACCAAGGCAACGAUGCGUAGCCGACCUGAGAGGGUGAUCGGCCACACUGGGACUGAGACACGGCCCAGACUCCUACGGGAGGCAGCAGUAGGGAAUCUUCCGCAAUGGACGAAAGUCUGACGGAGCAACGCCGCGUGAGUGAUGAAGGUUUUCGGAUCGUAAAGCUCUGUUGUUAGGGAAGAACAAGUACCGUUCGAAUAGGGCGGUACCUUGACGGUACCUAACCAGAAAGCCACGGCUAACUACGUGCCAGCAGCCGCGGUAAUACGUAGGUGGCAAGCGUUGUCCGGAAUUAUUGGGCGUAAAGGGCUCGCAGGCGGUUUCUUAAGUCUGAUGUGAAAGCCCCCGGCUCAACCGGGGAGGGUCAUUGGAAACUGGGGAACUUGAGUGCAGAAGAGGAGAGUGGAAUUCCACGUGUAGCGGUGAAAUGCGUAGAGAUGUGGAGGAACACCAGUGGCGAAGGCGACUCUCUGGUCUGUAACUGACGCUGAGGAGCGAAAGCGUGGGGAGCGAACAGGAUUAGAUACCCUGGUAGUCCACGCCGUAAACGAUGAGUGCUAAGUGUUAGGGGGUUUCCGCCCCUUAGUGCUGCAGCUAACGCAUUAAGCACUCCGCCUGGGAGGUUCGCCCCACGGUCC
rnacentral:rRNA from 1 species